AAAGGGUGCGCGGUCCGUUCAGAAAGAAUGAUAUGUAAUCCGGGGGCUCAACGCAGCAGCUGCUUUUUUUACUCCCGAAGUAGAGUAUGUCAGAGGGGGGUAGUACUCCACGUGUAGCAGAGAAAUGCGUAGAUAUGUGGAGCAACACCGAUGGAGAAGGCAGCCCCCUGGGAUAAUAAUGACGCUCAUGCACGAAAGUGUGGGGAGCAAACAGGAUUAGAUACCGUGGUAGUCCACGCCCUAAACGAUGUCAACUAGCUGUUGGGCCCUUCGGGGCUUAGUAGCGCAGCUAACGCGUGAAGUUGACCGCCUGGGGAGUACGGUCGCAAGAUUAAAACUCAAAGGAAUUGACGGGGACCCGCACAAGCGGUGGAUGAUGUGGAUUAAUUCGAUGCAACGCGAAAAACCUUACCUACCCUUGACAUGUCUGGAAUCCUGAAGAGAUUUAGGAGUGCUCGCAAGAGAACCGGAACACAGGUGCUGCAUGGCUGUCGUCAGCUCGUGUCGUGAGAUGUUGGGUUAAGUCCCGCAACGAGCGCAACCCUUGUCAUUAGUUGCUACAUUUAGUUGAGCACUCUAAUGAGACUGCCGGUGACAAACCGGAGGAAGGUGGGGAUGACGUCAAGUCCUCAUGGCCCUUAUGGGUAGGGCUUCACACGUCAUACAAUGGUCGGGACAGAGGGUUGCCAAGCCGCAAGGUGGAGCUAAUCUCAUAAACCCGAUCGUAGUCCGGAUUGCAGGCUGCAACUCGCCUGCAUGAAGUCGGAAUCGCUAGUAAUCGCGGAUCAGCAUGUCGCGGUGAAUACGUUCCCGGGUCUUGUACACACCGCCCGUCACACCAUGGGAGUGGGUUUUACCAGAAGUAGUUAGCCUAACCGCAAGGG
rnacentral:rRNA from 1 species